rnacentral:ribozyme from 1 species
UAUUUUGGAACUCCGAUUCCUACCUCCACGUGGUGCUAGCUGGAGUAUGAUGUCAGCUGCUGACUAUCAUAUAACUAACAGGAACGG